rnacentral:rRNA from 1 species
UACGUAGGGGGCAAGCGUUGUCCGGAAUCAUUGGGCGUAAAGCGCGUGUAGGCGGCUGGCUAAGUCCGCUCUGAAAGCCCGGGGCUCAACCCCGGGAGGCGGGUGGAUACUGGUCAGCUCGAGUCCGGAAGAGGAGUGUGGAAUUCCUGGUGUAGCGGUGAAAUGCGCAGAUAUCAGGAGGAACACCGGUGGCGAAGGCGGCACUCUGGGCCGGUACUGACGCUGAGGAGCGAAAGCGUGGGGAGCGAACAGG